GACAGAGGGGGCAAGCGUUGCUCGGAAUUACUGGGCGUAAAGGGCGCGUAGGCGGAAUGGCAAGUCGGUCGUGAAAUCCUUCGGCUCAACCGAAGAACGUCGAUCGAAACUGCCGUUCUUGAGGAUUGCAGAGGAGACUGGAAUUCCCGGUGUAGCGGUGAAAUGUGUAGAGAUCGGGAGGAACACCAGUGGCGAAGGCGGCGAUCUGGGAAGAUACUGACGCUGAGGUGCGAAAGCGUGGGGAGCAAACAGG
rnacentral:rRNA from 1 species